rnacentral:rRNA from 1 species
UGGGGAAUAUUGCACAAUGGGCGCAAGCCUGAUGCAGCCAUGCCGCUUGUAUGAAGAAGGCCUUCGGGUUGUAAAGUACUUUCAGCGGGGAGGAAGGGAGUAAAGUUAAUACCUUUGCUCAUUGACGUUACCCGCAGAAGAAGCACCGUCUAACUCCGUGCCAGCAGCCGCGUUAAUACGGAGGGUGCAAGCGUUAAUCGGAAUUACUGGGCGUAAAGCGCACGCAGGCGGUUUGUUAAGUCAGAUGUGAAAUCCCCGGGCUCAACCUGGGAACUGCAUCUGAUACUGGCAAGCUUGAGUCUCGUAGAGGGGGGUAGAAUUCCAGGUGUAGCGGUGAAAUGCGUAGAGAUCUGGAGGAAUACCGGUGGCGAAGGCGGCCCCCUGGACGAAGACUGACGCUAAGGUGCGAAAGCGUGGGGAGCAAACAGG